AAAGCCACCAAGUGAGUUUUAUUCUGCUCUCAAAACAUUCAUGCACACUUUGCCCACUCUCACCAGCUGGCAGCCUCAGAUUGUGGUGCAUGAGGGCUUUGUGACUGGGGCAGCCCGCUGAGUGAGCUCCAAAACACACCCACGGCGCUUCAGGGAAGAGGAGCUGGGAAAGAGAGGCCCGAGAGAACAGAGACUUUCAAAGACUUUUCAGUAUGCAAGGUUUGGCCUCCAGUAUCCACGGUGUGUAUGUGGAUAUCCAGAUGUGUGGGAGAGGAAUAGAGACACAUUAACAAAAGAGUCCUGAAGCAUAGGGGGGUGUAGCAGGUUGCUUUGUGGUGAGUAUCCCUGCCCACUAUGUGUAUGAGGUUUCCCCUCCACUGAAGAGAAAAGCUCCAUUGAUGUAAGAUGGUGCAUCUGCUCUGAGGCAAGUGCAGCGCUGGGUCAGAAAGAAACUGGGAUUUUCCACAUAUAAAUAGUUGCAUUGUUUUUUUUGUCUUUUCAUGUCCCUGCCUGAAAAAACAAAAC